rnacentral:rRNA from 1 species
GAUGAACGCUAGCGGCAGGCUUAAUACAUGCAAGUCGAGGGGUAACAUGGGGUAGCAAUACUCUGAUGACGACCGGCAAACGGGUGCGGAACACGUACGCAACUUUCCCAAAACUGGUGAAUAGCCCUCCGAAAGGAGGAUUAAUACACCGUAACAUAUAGAGGUGGCAUCGCCUUUAUAUUAUAGCUCCGGCGGUUUUGGAUGGGCGUGCGCCUGAUUAGGUAGUUGGUGUGGUAACGGCUCACCAAGCCUACGAUCAGUAACUGGUGUGAGAGCACGACCAGUCACACGGGCACUGAGACACGGGCCCGACUCCUACGGGAGGCAGCAGUAAGGAAUAUUGGUCAAUGGACGAAAGUCUGAACCAGCCAUGCCGCGUGAAGGAUGAAGGCCCUCUGGGUUGUAAACUUCUUUUAUUAGGGGACGAAAAAGGGAAGUUACCUUCCCACUUGACGGUACCCUAGGAAU